rnacentral:misc_RNA from 1 species
ACACCUCAACUCUCAUGCUUUGCCAUGAUGAGCUUGGACUUUGGGGGUCUUGCUGGCCUGUGGUCAGCUCCUCUCAAAUGAAUCAGCUUUCCAGUGUUUGGUGGCAUCACAGGUGUGAUAAAUAUCUACACUUGUGGUUUCCUGCCAAGUAACCUUCAGCAAUGGGGGUUUGCUGGAGCUCAUAAAUGUCUCUCCUCAGCGAAGACAGCUUUGUAAAU